GACGAACGCUGGCGGCGUGCUUAACACAUGCAAGUCGAACGGAAAGGCCCUGCUUUUGUGGGGUGCUCGAGUGGCGAACGGGUGAGUAACACGUGAGUAACCUGCCCUUGACUUUGGGAUAACUUCAGGAAACUGGGGCUAAUACCGGAUAGGAGCUCCUGCUGCAUGGUGGGGGUUGGAAAGUUUCGGCGGUUGGGGAUGGACUCGCGGCUUAUCAGCUUGUUGGUGGGGUAGUGGCUUACCAAGGCUUUGACGGGUAGCCGGCCUGAGAGGGUGACCGGCCACAUUGGGACUGGGAUACGGCCCAUAGGCCUACGGGAGGCAGCGGUGGGGAAUAGAGCACAAAGGGCGGAGGCCUGAUGCAGCAACGCCGGAUGCGAGAUGACGGCCUUCGGGUUGUAAACCGCUUUCGCCUGUGACUAAGCGUGAGGAACGGUAAUAGGUAAAGAAGCACCGGCUAACUACGU
rnacentral:rRNA from 1 species